UGUUUAUAGGGGCAAAGCUGUUGAAAAACUGUGACGCAAAGCCAAAGGGACUAAGGCAGUACGCUAUGUCAGCCGGUUGCAAUA
rfam:Coprococcus comes CAG:19 genomic scaffold, scf108